GCUGCGGGGUGGGAGCCGGGCCGCGCAACGCGCAUGCUCUAUGCGCGGCGCCCCCGACUCGCCGCUCGGCUCCGUUCGGGCAUUUCCGCCUCUUUGUUUUAAACUCCGGACGGGUUUUUUUCUCCUGCUCUUGGAGGGGACCCGGAGGGAGCGGCGCCCCCCCCACUCCCGACGCUGCCCCCGCGUGCGCCCAGCUCGCCCGCAGCCGAGACGGCAGAAGCCAAAGAUGUUGACCAGAAAGAUUAAGCUCUGGGACAUAAACGCCCACAUCACCUGCCGCCUAUGCAGCGGAUAUCUCAUCGACGCGACUACGGUGACCGAGUGUCUGCACACAUUCUGUCGGAGUUGCCUGGUCAAGUACUUGGAAGAGAACAACACCUGCCCCACGUGUAGGAUCGUGAUCCACCAGAGUCACCCACUGCAGUACAUUGGUCAUGACAGAACCAUGCAGGACAUUGUUUACAAACUGGUUCCAGGCCUUCAGGAAGCGGAAAUGAGGAAACAGAGGGAAUUCUACCACAAGUUAGGCAUGGAAGUGCCUGGAGAUAUCAAGGGGGAGACCUGUUCUGCAAAACAGCACCUAGAUCCCCAUCGGAACGGUGAAACCAAAGCAGAUGACAGUUCGAACAAAGAAGCAGCAGAAGAGAAGCAGGAAGAGGACAAUGACUACCACAGAAGUGACGAACAGGUGAGCAUCUGUCUGGAGUGCAACAGCAGCAAACUGCGGGGCUUGAAACGGAAGUGGAUCCGCUGCUCGGCCCAAGCAACAGUCCUGCACUUGAAGAAGUUCAUCGCCAAAAAACUUAACCUUUCGUCUUUCAACGAGCCCGGCCUUCCUGCAAACGCAAGAGCCUUCUUCCCCUUGCCCUGAGGGAGCAGUUUAAAAGACCAUCUGAGUCAGCAUCAUUUGUCAUCAGGGAAACAAAUUCAAACAAUGAGACACCACUCCACACCUGUCAGAAUGGCCAAAAUCCAGAACUCUGACCACCACAUGCUGGCAAGGGUGUGGAGCAACAGGGACUCCUCCUGUCCAUGGCUGGUGGAGACAAUUUAGCCGUUUCUUACAAAACUAAAUACACCCUCACCAUGUGGCCCAGCAGUCCCACUCUGUGGGGUCUCCUCGAAUUAACUGAAACCUUACGUCCACAUGAAAACCUGCACGCCAUUGUUUACAGCAGCUUUCUUCACAAUCGCCAAAACCUGAGAACCACCAAGAAGUCCUUCAUGUGUGAGUGGGUGAAUUAGCUGUGCUCCAUGCAGACCUAUGACUCAUGUUCACGAGAAACGAGCGCCCAAGCCAUGAAGAGACAUGGAGGAGCCUUAAAUGCACAUCACUAAGGAAAAACGCAGCAGGAUUCCAGCUGUGGGACAUCCUGGGAAAGGCAGAACCAGGGGGACAGUGACAAGACCUGCAGUGGUCGGGGGCUGAGGAGAGGAGGGCGAACAGGGGGAGCACGUGGCAUGUGGGGGCCGGGAACCAACUCUGGGUGAUACUGCAGUGGGGGCCUGUCCUGAUGCCCUCGUCCAGACCCCGAUGUCAUCUGUGUACCCUGGGUGAUGGUGUCGUGUCUGUGGAGGCUGGUCCACCGUAAGGGACAUCCACUCCAGUGUGGAUGUGGCUCACGGGGGACUAAGGUGCAUGGGACAUCUCUCUCUGCUCCCCUUGGUGCUCUCACCCUCAAACUGCUCUAAAAAUAGUCUUUUUUAAAAAGAAAGGAAAGGGGCGACUGGGUGGCUCAGUCAUUAAGCAUCUGCCUUUAGCUCAGGUAAUGAUCCCAGGGUCCUGGGAUUGAAUCCCACAUCAGGCUCUCUGCUCAGUGGGGAGUCUGCCUUUCCCUCUCUUUCUCUCUCCUUCUCUUUCUCUCCCUCUGGCCCUCCCCACCGCCCACAUGCUUCUCUCAAAUAAAUAAAUACGAUCUUAUUAAAAAAAAAAAAGAAGAAGGAAAAAGACCAUCUGAAGAGCCCAUUUACUUUUUCCACUGAGAUAAGAGGGACAGACUUGGCCAGGAGACUGACGCAGUGUGGUAACCACAGCUGAGGGCCCUGGAGGGGCCAUGGUGAGUGGGAACCCCCCCAGGCGCCAGGUGCUCCUGGCCCUCAGGUGGGUUGGGGUGGGGCCUUUUGAGCAGUCCCCACCUGUGCCACCUGGAGAUAGGACACGAUCCCCCAUAGGCGACUGACAUCAUGUGGCCCAACUGGCAUAGCCAGCGUGGCCCAGGGGGCAGAUGUGCCGAGCGCCGUGCCCUUGGCACCCUGACUGAAGCCUUCUUCUCCCACCAGCUGGACAUUUUAUGCAACGAGGAAAUCCUGGGCAAGGACCACACACUCAAAUUUGUGGUUGUCACAAGGUGGAGAUUCAAGAAGGCGCCGCUCCUGCUCCACUACAGACCCAAGAUGGACCUGCUCUGAGCCUGGCCCUGGGCCGGCUCUGCUGCCCUCCGUGCCACCUGCGGGUGUCGUGGGGACCAGACUUCUGAAUAGAGAGUAUUUAUAACUUUUGUAUGAGAGAAUUCACACUCAGCAAGACACUACCAGCACCACGGUUAUAAGACAACAAAACACUUCACAGUCUCAGCGGCAGAAGGGGCGCCUCUCACAGACCAGAUGGUAAACACGGUGGCCAGGCGACCUGUGCUUGCUUCCCGGGCCUUGGAAAUCCGGUCAUUUCCGUUGCAUUUAUGAAUUAGGGUUCAUGCUAAGCCUCAAAAAUCCUUGUACAUUUACUGAACCCUUCCUAAGUUAUUGAAAAAUCUCUCUCCGUGGUGAAUGACAAUAUUUAUGUUGCCUUUAGCUUCCUGAAGACUCAGAAGGUAUAUAAAGGGUUAAUUUUAAAACCAUUCCAUUAAUUCUAUGAGUUUGCCGUGGUAUUUCAUCAUCCACCACGUUAGGAACCGUGACAAGCCCAUAGCUCUCCUGCCUGGACUGGGGCUCUGGGUUCUGAGGCCCCAGGGUGACGGGGGGCUCCACCUGCUGCUACCCAGACACGGGCACUCCCCACAGGGUAGACCAGGGGUGGCUUGGCCAGCUUACUGCUGGUUUGCAGAGCCAUUCUUGUUCUCAGACGGGACUGGUGUUCAGUAGGGCUCUGAUCCUUCAGGGACUUAAGUUCCCCACUUAAUUCUUUCCCGGGUUCAUCAUGCUGAAGAGAGAGGUGGUGGCAUUGUGUGGGGUCUCCCUGAGACGGUGCCGUCAGUCGGAGGAGGGCUGGCACCCAGGGCAUACAGACUGAGGUUCCCACCAUGUCCACCCCAUGCUGCCCCGUGGACAGGGAUGUUUGGGGGGUACCCUCCAGCGAGCUUUGGAGAGGAGCCUGCUGGCUGCUCUUUAACUUCCUUUGUGACCUGAAAUGCCAGUCACAGGCAGCACACAUUUUGUCUACCCCUUUCUCCUCCCAAGUGUUAACAUUUUUGUGGGAUUAGUGAAUAAACUCUGAUGGCACAUAAGUAUUUGUCCCUUUAAAACAGUAACUGGGAACAUGGAAAGGCAGCAGGAGAAAGCAGCCGUUUUCCGGGGUCGUGAAAGUGUUCUGGGGUUCUGUGGCCAUCCUUGUCCUCUCCAUCUGCCCGCACUGUCCGUUUGUCUGUGAGCUCUGGGUUCCUCCCCCUCGUCCUCAGUCACCCCCAGGCAGCCGCAGCCACCCACCUCCUUUGUUCAUGGAAUGUGUCACCGUCCUGUCUGGAAUUUCUUCUCACAUUUGCUUUGAACGUUAUGGUGGGGUUUUUUCUGUUUCCUUUUCUCUUAUAUACAUGAGACCUAAUCUUGGUGACAAGAAAACCAUUCAGAUUAAUUCAGUCCAAGUGAUUCUAACAUAAGGCCUUUUAGAAGCCUCGAAGCAGGUUCUGUUAGGAAUUGGUCACCAGUCACCCCUCCCUGAAGCCCCUUCACCCCCGGUGCUGUUUGCCGUGUUCAGUUCGCUAGCUUGCUGUCCGUCCGAAACACGUCUGUGGGUCGCUCCACGAGGGUCACUGAGUAGGUGUGUAUGAGUGCAUAUGACCUGUCUACCUCAACAUACACAUUGUUGCUGAAGCCACACUAACCACAGUGUGGUCUGGGCUCUGGCGUUGGAACUCGGCUGUUUUCCUGGGCGGCGGUGGAGGGGAGGGUCCCACAGUGUAAGCAUCCAAAUUCAAACGAUAUCAACUCACAGUUCAGGUCAGACUGAGUGUCGCUGUCAGAAUCUCCUAAUAGAUAUUUGUGACUUUGUAGCUAUCUUUGGAAUCACUUGAAUUUGCUAUGGUGCUAAGUGGAUGUAUUUCGAUACACAGGUGGAGGUGGUCAGGGCCAGCGCUCACACCGCCGGCUGGCUGCUGACCCACCCGUGACCCCCUUUUGUAAUCGUGUUACCCUGACAAAACCUCAGCUGCAGACCUACUAUUUUUCUAAGAUUCCUCAUGCAGACUGUCUUCACUGCAGGGCGUCCCCAGGGACCCACAGCCCUCGGCAGAUGGGAGCCCAGAGCCCGUGUCCCGGGGCGACUUCUGUGGUCCCCUCCUCACUGGCACGCUUUCAUUUCACCUCAAAAGGCUGAGUUUCAUUUUUUCCAGCAUGCAAGCCAGGAUCAGUUUCUUUUGUAACAGACGGAAUUCCUGUGAAGUGGUCUUCACGACUGUUGACGCUGGUAAUAACACACGUGCUGUUCAGUCACCUUCCUGCGUCACUGUCACCGGCAGUGGGACCCGCUCCCCAGCACACGGGCUCACUACGUGCAGUUCUCAUGAAGAUAGAAAAUUCAGAUAGAAUAUAUAAUAUUGAAUUUAAGAUUUGGGGGGUUAAAAAAAAGAAAACUUAACUUUAUAAAAUUAUUUAUUCUAUUUUAAGCAUUCUAUCAUAUUUUCCCAUCCAAUUGUUUGGUUUCCGUGGUCCAGCUUUAUUUACAGGCAUAUAAAAUGAAAUUGUGACAUGUUUUGCAAGCUUCUUCUUUUUACUUUGAGUAGCUUUUAAUUUGUACGUUUUUGUUUCGUAUAGAUGAAGAGCAACAUUCAUGCUUUUGUGCGAUAGGUUCCAAGAUGCAUUUAUUAGAUAUGUUUAAAUUGUAAUGUCACAUCUCUUCUGCUAAAUCGAAAGGGAAUGUCGGUGGAAUUUCGAAAUAUGUGCAUUCAGCUAUUUGGUUUUUCCUUCUCACUGUUGUUCCAAGAACGCUGUUCGGGGAUGGUUUGUGUGUGUGCCCCGUGCGAAAACACCUGUCUAUAAUAUCUGAGGGCGCAUGACCGGGCAGGCAGCUGCCAAGCGCUGUGUGGCCGCCCCAGGUCCCCUGUCUUCAGACCCUGCAUGCUCACAGCCCUGGAUAUGCCACCGCGUAUCAUACGUGGGAUGGUGCUACUCCCCCUGCGGCCCCAGCCCUCCGGGUCCUGCGGCCUCUGAUGCCUCCUUGUGGUAAAGUCUUUAGAAAUUCGUUUCAUUUUUUCCUCAAAGUUCACAGGCGGGCAUUUUAGAGCUUUUUAAAAUGUGUCAUUGAAUCGAUUGUUCUAGGAACGAGCCCGCUGAUUUCUACUUUAUACGUGAAUAUUAGAUACGCUCUCAAGAUGUUGAAAGUAAACAGCGCAGGUAGCCAAAUCAGAAAAUACCCAGUUUCUCUGUUUCCUCAGGAAAUCAUUAACACUCCAGCAUAUCACGUGUGACCUUUGCGUGAUAAGCCAGUGGGUUUCUCUGCCUUGGUAUUUCAACAAACUAUAGAAGUUGGGAUAAGUAGAUUAGAAAACCAUUAUUCACACUAACCAUAACCCUGCCAGGCAGGGACCCAGGUGGCGCGGCUGGCCACCAGCCCACCGAGGAGGCUCUGCCUGCACAACCCACCCCCCUACCCUCCACCUGCAUCGUGUGUGGGUCACCACAUCCGUGAGCGCAUCUGAAGGAUGGACUGACGUUUGAGUGUCCCCUAAAAUGUGUGUAGCAUUAGUGUAAAUGUCUAUUCCGACAGUUUAAUUGGGUCUAAGGAAACCAUUUUUCCCCAAAUGAUGAAGGGUCCAGGGGUGUGAGCCACCAUUAGCCUGAUCGUCACACGUGUUGCGGUUUACUGAGAUGACAAUGCAGAUACAUAUUUUUGACUGUUUAAUUUGAAAGUUUACAUUUUUUAUGCUUUGUGUUGGUGUGUAAUUUUUGUACUAUUGGUGGCUAGUUUUUGUCUAAAAUCUUUUUUGGAAUAUUGCUUAAAUGUUUUGAUUUUAUGAUAGUGAAGCUUGUACUCAGUGUUUUGCCAAUUAAUAUUAUAUGCUUGUAAUAAAAGCAAAAGAAAAACUUA